rnacentral:rRNA from 1 species
CACGAACGCUGGCGGCGGGCUUAACACAUGCAAGUCGAGCGCCCCGCAAGGGGAGCGGCAGACGGGUGAGUAACGCGUGGGAAUCUACCCAUCUCUACGGAAUAACGCAUGGAAACGUGUGCUAAUACCGUAUACGUCCUUCGGGAGAAAGAUUUAUCGGAGAUGGAUGAGCCCGCGUUGGAUUAGCUAGUUGGUGGGGUAAAGGCCUACCAAGGCGACGACCCAUAGCUGGUCUGAGAGGAUGAUCAGCCAGCCUGGGACUGAGAAACGGCCCAGAGUCCUACGGGGGGCAGCAGUGGGGAAUAUUGGACAAUGGGCGCAAGCCUGAUCCAGCCAUGCCGCGUGAGUGAUGAAGGCCCUAGGGUUGUAAAGCUCUUUCACCGGUGAAGAUAAUGACGGUAACCGGAGAAGAAGCCCCGGCUAACUUCGUGCCAGCAGCCGCCGUAACAC